rnacentral:tRNA from 1 species
GCGAGAUUAGCUCAGUUGGUAGAGCAACUUGUUUACACCAAGAAGGUCAGAGGUUCGAGUCCUCUAUCUCGCA